rnacentral:lncRNA from 1 species
GCUGUUUUAAAAUGCAAAAAAGUGGGAACCGUGCGAUAAUUAUUGUCACAAAUAUGAUGAAAUGCACAGACCUAAGAAUGGAGGAACACCGCCCCUCCGAGUCUUCGUGCAAGCCCAGCGGGUACCCCGGUAUUCGUAUCAAAGUGCAUUGACGCCGGCAGUGCUGACCUAUUUAAACCAUGAAGAAGGACCUGAGGAGCAUGUGGACCUGUGUACGCCAAAGACACCAUGCCUGAACAGAGUAAACAACACUACCUCCUUCUCCACGUUCUCUGCAGCGUCCUGCAAAUGCCAUCACCUGCAGGGGAAAGAGCGCCUACACUGUAUGUGACCCAGCUUGCACACAUCAAAGCUGCAGUUGGAGAAUCAGUCACGUUGCUCUGUGAGUUCAGCUACAACGGGGAAGCAGAAGACUCCAAGUUUGGGAAGUUUCACAAAAAAGGAGCGGGGAAAAAUACUGACAUUCCUGGAGUCAUCCGGUGUCAGUCUUCCUACCCACAAAGAACGCCGCUGCUCUGCAAUCUCACCAUGACCAUCCCGAACGUCAGUCCCGGGAAUGCCUCUCUUUACUACUGCGAGGUGGCCAUCCCAAGGCCGAUGAUUACCGUGAGAGGCUCAGGAAGUGGAACCAAUGUUUCAGUUUACGCUGAAGCCUUGUCCUUGAAGACAGAGCAGACAGGAGUCCUGAGACCAGGACAACAGGGAAGCCUACGGUGCAGCGCCACCAGGUUAUACCCUUCAGACUUCACCGUGCGCUGGUUCUGCAGAGACCAUCCAGUGGCACCAGUCAACUAUAAUACAAGUGCUGAAACCAACGUGGACGGCAUUGUGUCACUACAGAGCUGGUACAAGUUCACCCCGAUGAUAACGGAUGACGGCAUGGUCUGCAGGUGCAAGCUGUCCCACCCGUUGUGGACGCAAGAGAGGACAGCCAGCAUCACGCUGAACAUCAGCUAUGGUCCCCAACGUGUCAAUUUGACUUCACGCUCAGGGGUUUUGGUGAAUGGCACGUUGCGACUGCCUGCGGGGUCACCUCUGAGCGUGGCCUGCACCGCGGAUGGCAACCCCAGUCCGGAGAUUCACUGGUCGCUCGAAGGUUCAGACGCUCAGAACCCGAGUGGUGACCUCCACAUACCCGUGGCUACCGAAGAACACGGCGGCCUGUAUUGGUGCGUGGCGCGUAACCGGUAUGGAGAGGGCAAUGCCAGCAUUGUUGUGCUGAUUUCCCAAAGCACGCACGCAACAGCUGGAUUCUACUCCCUUUAUGGUCUGCUGGGCGUCUCAGUCAUAGUUCUCCUGGUUUCACUUGUCUGCUGUGUCCAUAAAAAGAAGCAGACGAAGACCAGAGCCGAACUGGAUCGAGGAUCUCCACUUGCUUCUGAAGAUCCCCACCCUGUGGAUGAGUCGCAGCUGAUCUACAGCACCAUCACCUUUCCCUCGGGAUCCGAACGUCCAAACACAGAGCAAAGAGAACUGCAACGUUCUACAUCCAGCACGGUGCUAUAUAGUCAACUAGCUCUGAAGAACCAUCACCGCGUCCACCCCGGCGACCAGGAGGAGGCGCUCCGCACCGUCUACGUUCUGACACAAGUUCCCCUUUAUUGCUCCUUCGCUAAAGAGGAUCACUGACCCUUACUGCGGGGUAUUUCCCGCUAGAACGGACCGUUGCCAUGGCAACAAGGAGCUGGACUCUCCGUCGGAAAGGUGAUUGAAAUAUGAAAACGGAACUGAACAGCAGAGUCACGAAACAAAGAGGCUCUUGUAGGUUUUCGACGGCUGAGAAAAGCAUGACUCACGCGGUUUUGGAGGAGGUGAGAGGACACGGCGUUGGGCCACUGUUUCAUUAGCGCUCAUGUCCUCUGUGGGACUCCCGGUCAAAAAAAAAAACAGGGCUUUGAUCAACCGCACGGGUGUUUCCGAGCGGCACCCUUUACUGACCCUUGUGCAGCUUCUCGUCACGUUUCGCUUGUUUAUUGUGUUCGCCUCUAACUGAGAAGCAGCACAGGAAGCAUAUAUGCAAGAUAAAGAUCACUUUUGACUUGAUGUCGGCUCACAGAGUCGGCUCUAUGAUUUGUUUCCUUGGCGGUGUUUUUUUUUGUUUUCUGCUGUUUUAAGGUAGCAGCAUCCUGUUAUAGAUGGUAAAUAUGUCGGCAGUGCUUGUGAAAGAUCAGUCUUAAUUCUUCACAUAUCAGUGUGACUAUAUGCACCACAUACAUCACGUGUCAUCAGCGAAUGACUGUUAUUUAUAAGUCUUUCAAGCAUUGUAAUUCCUUUUUUAAAUUCAGCCAUUCAUUAAUUUGCCCACAAGUGCGCAGCGGUUCAAAGCCCAUCUCUAAAGCAUGGGUGGGGGGGUAGAAUGCACCUUUGAUGGGGCAUGAAUUUUUAUCAUUUGUCAUGUAGAUAAUAAAUUGACAGUUACUAAUGCA